rnacentral:rRNA from 1 species
CCUACGGGUGGCAGCAGUGAGGAAUAUUGGUCAAUGGGCGGGAGCCUGAACCAGCCAAGCCGCGUGAAGGAAGAAGGCGCCAAGCGUCGUAAACUUCUUUUGUCGGGGAACAAAGGGCGCCACGUGUGGCGUUGUGAGUGUACCCGAAGAAAAAGCAUCGGCUCACUCCGUGCCAGCAGCCGCGGUAAUGCGGAGGAUGCGAGCGUUAUCCGGAUUUAUUGGGUUUAAAGGGUGCGUAGGCGGCCUUUUAAGUCAGCGGUGAACGUCUGGGGCUCAACCAUAGAAUUGCCGUUGAAACUGGGGGGCUGGAGUAUGUGUGAGGCAGGCGGAAUGCGUGGUGUAGCGGUGAAAUGCUUAGAGAUCACGCAGAACCGCGAGUGCGAAGGCAGCCUGCCAAGCCAUGACUGACGCUGAUGCACGAAAGCGUGGGGAUCAAACAGGAUUAGAGACCCCUGUAGUC